GAUGUUAAGGCAAUUUCGAUAAGAUUUUGUCAGGGGCAGAUAACCCCGUAAGGACCUCAUUAUGUAUUCAUAUAUUCAUUAAUGGCGAAGAUUCCGUAAGCUGCGUCUAUCGAUGAAACUGUAUGAAAUCAAAUUACAUACAUGCCUGUUAACUAAAAACGGGUAUCCAUAUGAUGUAAUUUGUUUAUCGAAACACGAAUAUUGUAUGUUUGUGCUUUAAUUAUUAUGGCAAACAGUUGCAAUAGCUGUUUUUGUUGAAGAGAUUGUCGGCUUGUGGACCCCGCCUCCUUUUGCAGAUUAACCAAUCAGUAGACGAUCGCCGUCAAAAAGAUGUUUGUAGUUUGCAGAAUGGAAAGAACCUUGCAGCGAAAAUUAUUUUCACUUCUAUGUGAAAAUCUAACCAGAAAACUCCCCUGUCAAUUACAAGAUACAGUAUGCCAUUCCAGCUUUGAUGAAAUAAAGUAAUGGUUUGAUUUGGAGAGCUUUAUUAUUAUAGACAGGGAUGAUGACCUGCAGUAGAAAGUUCCUUAUAACUCAUCAUGGCCAUUACGGAAGAUCUCAUUAAAAUUUGUUUAGAAAGCCACCAAAUAUGUCCAUGAAAAGUAGAAAAAAGACAGCAAUUCUAUAUAAUGUACAUAUAUGUACUAAGCAUAAGCAUUGACUGUUUCAAGACCAAAUGAAUUGGAAUUAAGUGUUUUGAUGCUGAGAGACAGAGGAAAGUUAACUAGACAAUUUAGCUUCUUUUUCAUCAUCAUGUAUCACUGAAGUUGAUGUUUACCAUCUUAAAGAGCUUUUACCUCAGUUAAAAUGAAUUCUAAACACGGACAGUUUGGAGAUUUGUGAAUUUUCCUACAAUUGGUGUUUCAAAAAAGGAUUUCAUUUAGCAAAAUUAUAUUUCAUGGAUGUAAUUUGUAGUUUCUUUCAUGAAAUAUUUGAAAAAUCUGCAAUACAUUUGUAUCUGACCAAGUGAGAGAUCUACAAACAGACAUAUGAUAUUCAGUUGAACUGUAAAGAAAGAGUUAUUCAUUUAUAAGACUUAUAUGAGUGUUUUGUUAUUUUUAUGGCAAUUACGGGGAAAAGUUAGUAAUUGAUUUAAACAUUAAUCCUACCUAGAUAUACAUGAGAUAUACUAUCAUAUACAUGUAGGCAUACAAUUCACUGAUGCACUUAACUAAUGGAGUUACAUGUAAUUAUAAAACUAAGAAUAUGACAUAUGAUUGCCAAUAAAUUAACAACUCUUCAUCAGAGAACAAAUAGUCAUAUUAUAUAUUGUCCACCAGCAUGACCAGAGAACAAGAAGAUCAUAUUAUAUCAUGAUUUAUAUUUCAAUUUCAUUUCAUUUCAUAACAGUUAACACAGAAUAAAGGUAUACAAAAAGUUCAGAAGCAUAAAAAAGUGUUUUAAUUGCA